GUACACGCUGUGACUAGCAUAUCAAUAAGCGGAGGAAAAGAAACUAACAAGGAUUCCCCUAGUAACGGCGAGUGAAGCGGGAAGAGCUCAAAUUUGAAAUCUUAAAGGGUUUCCCUUUACGAAUUGUAGUUUAAAGAAGUGUUUUCUGUUGAGGUUUUGGUAAAAGUUCUUUGGAAUAGGACAUCAUAGAGGGUGAGAAUCCCGUAUUUGACCUUUACUUUCAACUUUGUGAUACACUUUCAAAGAGUCGGAUUGUUUGGGAAUGCAGUCCAAAAUGGGUGGUAAAUUUCAUCUAAAGCUAAAUAUUGGCGAGAGACCGAUAGCGAACAAGUACCGUGAGGGAAAGAUGAAAAGAACUUUGAAAAGAGAGUUAAACAGUACGUGAAGUUGUCAAAAGGGAAGCGUUUGACACCAGUGUUGUUUUUCUGAAAAUCAAUUAAAGAACUGUUUAUGCUAAGCUGUUUAGACUUUAUCAGCUAUCUGUUUAGUUUUGAGCUUUUCUUUAAUGCACUUUUCAGUUAACAAGUCAACAUCAAUUUCUUUUGCUGUAAAAAAGCUUGAGGAAGGUGGCUUGAGAUUCGUCUUAAGUGUUUAUAGCCUCUUGCCUAUGCAGUCGGAGAGAUUGAGGUCUGCAGCGUAGAUCCUUCGGGGCUAAAUGCAUUUGUGCUAAGUUAUAGCAUUUUAUAGACAACUUGUUGACUAUGAUUUGUCUUGUAGCUUACUCGCUUAUGUUAUUUUACCUACGCUUAGGAUGUUGAUAUGCAUGACUGAUAU
rnacentral:rRNA from 1 species